rnacentral:rRNA from 1 species
UGGGGAAUAUUGGACAAUGGGCGAAAGCCUGAUCCAGCCAUGCCGCGUGUGUGAAGAAGGCCUUAUGGUUGUAAAGCACUUUAAGUGGGGAGGAAAAGCUUAUGGUUAAUACCCAUAAGCCCUGACGUUACCCACAGAAUAAGCACCGGCUAACUCUGUGCCAGCAGCCGCGGUAAUACAGAGGGUGCAAGCGUUAAUCGGAAUUACUGGGCGUAAAGCGCGCGUAGGUGGUUAUUUAAGUCAGAUGUGAAAGCCCCGGGCUUAACCUGGGAACUGCAUCUGAUACUGGAUAACUAGAGUAGGUGAGAGGGGAGUAGAAUUCCAGGUGUAGCGGUGAAAUGCGUAGAGAUCUGGAGGAAUACCGAUGGCGAAGGCAGCUCCCUGGCAUCAUACUGACACUGAGGUGCGAAAGCGUGGGUAGCAAACAGGAUUAGAUACCCUGGUAGUCCACGCCGUAAACGAUGUCUACCAGUCGUUGGGUCUUUUAAAGACUUAGUGACGCAGUUAACGCAAUAAGUAGACCGCCUGGGGAGUACGGCCGCAAGGUUA